rnacentral:rRNA from 1 species
UACGUAGGGUGCAAGCGUUGUCCGGAAUUAUUGGGCGUAAAGAGCUCGUAGGCGGUUUGUCGCGUCUGCCGUGAAAGUCCGGGGCUCAACUCCGGAUCUGCGGUGGGUACGGGCAGACUAGAGUGAUGUAGGGGAGACUGGAAUUCCUGGUGUAGCGGUGAAAUGCGCAGAUAUCUGGAGGAACACCGGUGGCGAAGGCGGCAUCCUGGACCAAUUCUGACGCUGAGGA